AUUAGCUAGUUGGCGAGGUAAUGGCUCACCAAGGCUACGAUCGGUAGCUGGUCUGAGAGGAUGAUCAGCCACACUGGAACUGAAACACGGUCCAGACUCCUACGGGAGGCAGCAGUGAGGAAUAUUGCGCAAUGGGGGAAACCCUGACGCAGCAACGCCGCGUGGGUGAAGAAGGCCUUCGGGUCGUAAACGGCUAACUCCGUGCCAGCAGCCGCGGUAAUACGGAGGGUGCGAGCGUUGUUCGGAAUUACUGGGCGUAAAGCGCGUGUAGGCGGCCUUGCAAGUCAGGCGUGAAAGCCCUCGGCUUAACCGGGGAAGUGCGUCUGAAACUGCUUGGCUUGAGUACGGGAGAGGGAGGCGGAAUUCCCAGUGUAGAGGUGAAAUUCGUAGAUAUUGGGAGGAACACCGGUGGCGAAAGCGGCCUCCUGGACCGAUACUGACGCUGAGACGCGAAAGCGUGGGUAGCAAACAGGAUUAGAUACCCUGGUAGUCCACGCGGUAAACGAUGGGCACUAGGUGUGGGGGGUAUCCACUCCUCCCGUGCCGAAGCUAACGCAUUAAGUGCCCCGCCUGGGGAGUACGGCCGCAAG
rnacentral:rRNA from 1 species